rnacentral:rRNA from 1 species
AGUGAACGCUGGCGGUAGGCCUAACACAUGCAAGUCGAACGGCAGCACAGUAAGAGCUUGCUCUUACGGGUGGCGAGUGGCGGACGGGUGAGGAAUACAUCGGAAUCUACUUUUUCGUGGGGGAUAACGUAGGGAAACUUACGCUAAUACCGCAUACGACCUACGGGUGAAAGCAGGGGAUCUUCGGACCUUGCGCGAUUGAAUGAGCCGAUGUCGGAUUAGCUAGUUGGCGGGGUAAAGGCCCACCAAGGCGACGAUCCGUAGCUGGCCUGAGAGGAUGAUCAGCCACACUGGAACUGAGACACGGUCCAGACUCCUACGGGAGGCAGCAGUGGGGAAUAUUGGACAAUGGGCGCAAGCCUGAUCCAGCCAUACCGCGUGGGUGAAGAAGGCCUUCGGGUUGUAAAGCCCUUUUGUUGGGAAAGAAAAGCAGCAAGUUAAUACCCCGCUGUUCUGACGGUACCCAAAGAAUAAGCACCGGCUAACUUCGUG